rnacentral:tRNA from 1 species
GGGGCUAUAGCUCAGCUGGUAGAGCACCUGCUUUGCACGCAGGAGGUCAGCGGUUCAAUCCCGCUUGGCUCCACCA